AUGCAAUGAUGAUAAAGAUCCAACUCUGAUUUACAGUGAAGUCAAUCAGAUUAACGAGCUUUUUAACACUGAGCAUU